UGAGGGACAGAUGCCAGAAGCACUGGUUAUGAUUUGCAUCUGGCAUCCGUCACACAGA
rnacentral:pre_miRNA from 1 species